rnacentral:lncRNA from 1 species
UUGGAUCACUAGCAAAGGAGACACCACCUAGAAGAUUUGGAGAGCCCUAGUUUGCUACUUCUUAUUACGACUGUGCGACCAGAGAACCAUAUCUAGAUAGAUAUGAUAUAGCUUGUGCUUUGUCUUAGUUUAGAUAUUUUCUCUCUUUAUGAACUAUGGAUUAGCUAGAACCUUCUUUUGGAGUUCUUUUGUGUUUCUUGUAAGUUUGGUUUCAUAGAUACAUAUGAUGCUGGCUCGUAUUGUUCUAUACUUAGUAAGUACUCUACUUCUCAGGUAUCACUCUAUGAUAAGUUCACGAGCUUUUUACUUUUAAGAGAUCUAUGGUGUCUGCUGGUGUCUAGUUAUCACUUUGUGUGGGUUAGUGGGCUUAGCUUGGUCGUGCUCAAUCAUAGUUGUGGAUAUUUUAAGUUAUUUCCUUUUGUGCCACUUAAGUUUAUCAGAAAUGUGUGCUGAGCCAGAUCCCUGAAAGAAUUUGAUGAAGCCAUUUACCUAAAACAGUAGAUUGUUGGUCUGACUGUUACUUUGUUUUAGAACCUGUUUAUAUUGAUUUAUUUUAAGGCUCUUAAGCUAGCUCUCAAGUACUUCUUGAGUAAAUUUAAGAAGUGCUUAUAAGCUAGGUUGCACGGACUCUUCAAAAAUGUCAAUGUCAACAUGUACGUGCCAGAUACUCCAAAAGUAGUGCAUUUUGUUGAAUUUGACACGGGUGCGGCAAGAAUUUUGGAGAGUCCAAGCAACAUAGCAUAAGCACUUGGUUUAAGCUAAAAUGCUAAAAAUAAAUGAAAAGCCAUAAGUCAGAAUUUCUUAUGACUUUUGGCUUAAAAGUAAUAAACGAAAAGCAAUCCAAUCAGGCUUAGUUUUGAAAGGAUCUGCAUGUCUCGUUUCAACCAUUCAUAGCUUAGGGUGCCUGCAUCUUAUAUCUUAUUAGAAGUGGGAGUGGAGGGGUGCGCGUACAGCUUACUGGUUUGUGCAGGAACAACAGUCCUAUAGUACUUACUUUCUUUUUGUAUUUUCUUUAUCUUUAUUCCGUCACUUAAAUUAUUUUCUUUUGGUAAUCAAGAUCUAAUUUUUUUAUAAUCUUUGUAAAUGGCUGUAAUUCAUAUUUUAAUUUGUGUUGAAUAUGUUGAUGAUGUACCUGUAAUUCAGCUCAUGUUCUUUAUAUUAUCAUUUAAAAUGUGAAGAUGUAUUUAAAUUGUGUUGAUUUGUUUUUGGAAGUACUUUUACCUUUCAAAGUCUCAAAUACAAUCUGGGGCUAAUUAGCAUUGUAGCUGUUUUAGUUGGUCUUUUAUCAUCACUGAUAUUAGGCGUUUGAUGGAAUUACAAGUUAAUUAGUUGGUGUGAUCUAUGUAGGUGUGUCUUUUUGCCCCAAGAAUACUGGUAACACGAUUCCAUCUUCGGCUCAAAUUGUAUAAUAGUAAUUUAUUUCAAUUUCCAAUUAUUUUUUUACUUUUAGUUUGGCGCACUAGGAGGAUCAAGGAUCUUUAAAUGGAAAAGAGGGAGAAUAGAUGCUCAUGAAGUGGUUGAGGGACACACUGAUUGAGGAAGAGUUCACGAGUCAAUUUCAGUACUGAGGGCAUCACUAGCACUUACUUCAUAUUCGAUGCUAGGAGGUGGAUGAACUCGGUGUCUUGGAGGAUCCAUCCAUCGGAAAACCUCAGUGAUGUGACCUACCCUCGAUCUUUGGUGGUAUCCUACACCAUACGAGGCAUUAACGAGUCGGAGUGAAAGGACUUCUAUUAGAGCAACAAAAAUCUCCCUUUUCUCCCGGGUAUGGUGUCGACACUAUGCGGGCGAGUUGGGGUACCCACUUGGAGAUUGACAUAGAUGCUCCUUUUAAAUCCUCUCUCCGGGUGAAGAUGGUUGGCUCUAAAGGAAGAAGUGGAGGAAAAUGAACUAAGUAGAGAGUAAAAUGAUUAUGGUGAGCCACCGAUCACUGGCGGUUGCUCGGUGGAUGACUUGGCUGCAGUCAUGAGAUUCAUGGAGGCUACCCUGCUGGAGCCACAACCCACCUCCCUUUAUCUCCCUCAGUGUAUUUUGUAUUUUUCCCUAUAUCCCUCUUUAUAUUUUGUAUUUUAUAUUUUUAUCAAUCCACUUUGUAUUUUGUAUUUUUACCUCUUCUUUAUUGUAUUUUAUAUUUUCACCUCCCUUUCUUUAUGUAUUUUGUAUUUUUACCUCUCUUUGUAUUUACUUAUUUUUUAGGAAUCAUGUGAAUGUAUUUGUUGUAUUCAUGCGUGCAUUUAGGUUGUAUACUAUGCUUACACCUCUCUCCCUCUUGUAUAUAUCACUUGUAUUCAAUUUACUUAUUUUUUAGGAAUCAUGCGAAUGUAUUUGUUGUAUUCAUGCAUGCAUUUAGGUUGUAUACUAUGCUUCCACCUCUCUCCCUCUGGUAUAUAUCACUUGUAUUCAUUCACUCUUGUAUCAUUUGUAUUUAAUCUCUUUAGUAUCACUUGUAUUCAAUUUUUUUGUACCACUUAUAUUUAUUCGUUCUUGUAUAAUUUGUAAUCAUUCGCUCUUGUAUCACUUGCGUUCAUUUAUUCUUGUAUUAAAAAUGUGUAUCAAAAAGACGAAGGAAAAAAAAAGACUUAAAAGGGAGAAAAUAUAUAAUCACACAGCGCAGAAUAUGCAACAUAAAGAGAUGGAGAGAGAGAGAAUAUACAAUUGAUAUAAAUACAAAACUAAAUACAAGAAAAAAGGCUAGAGAGAAGGGAAAAGAGAGCAAAGAUAUAUAAUUGAGACAAACACACAAAAUAAAAUACAAGAAAAAAGGCUAUAGAAAGAGAAAAAAAGAGAGCAAAUAUAUAGUUGAUACUUGGUACAUUCCAACAAACAAAGCAAAAUAUAUGAAAAAACUACAAAUAGAAGAAAGUGAGAAGAAAAAGGAGAGAAAGAAAAAUAUACCAUUAAUACAAACACACAAAAAAUACAAAAAAAACACUUUGUAUAGAGAAAGGGAGAGCAAAAAAGAUAGAGUAAAUAUACAAUUGUUAGAAAUACACAAAGCAAAAUAUAUGAAAAAACUAAAAAAGGCAAUGAGAGAAGGAGAUUUUUUCCCCCGAUUUCUAUAUAGUUUGAUUAUUUUUUAUUUUUUAAAACGUCAUCUAACGUCCGUCACAAUCGAUAAAGUUUGAUAUAACUACAUAUCCAAAAAUCUCAAUAACAUAAAAUAUUCUUUUUGGAUUUAUAAUAUCAAAUGAAAUAUGCCUAUUAUUUUUAUUAUAAUCACAUGAUUUACUAGGUGUUAUUAUGAAAAGGCUGCUAAAAUUGUAUUAGAUUUAAAUUGAAAUCUUUAAUUGAGUUUGUUGAUUAAGUUUGUCUAUUUUAGCAUCCUUUGAUAACAAGAUAGUUUGUUCUAGUUGUAUAUGAUCACCAUUCUAUCAAGCAAGUGUUUUAUUUCAUGUAAUUCAGCAUAGAGAUUUCAAGUAGUCUACAACUAACACUAUGAAUUGAACAUGACUUUUGCUGCUAUGCUAAAACGUAAAGUUUAGAUAAUCAUAAAAACUAAAUCAGUGUUGAGUAUUUAUGUUGUCAAUGUUGAAUUUGAUAUUAAAUUUCGUUUAAAUAAAAUUCACCUCAAGGCCAAAGUAUAUAUAUAUAUAUAUAUAUAUAUUCGGUUCAAGAAUUUUUUGAUAUUUCUAUAAAAUAAAUUGUUCAUCUUAAUUAUUUAAAUUUAUAUUGUAACCUUCAAUUUUAUUUUUAAAAAUAUAAAAAUCGAUUUAGAAGGUGUUAGGAUUGUCUUAAAAGUUGGUCCAACCUACUUUUAAGUCAGUUUUUGAUUUCUGAAAGUGUUUGGUAAACAUAAAAAAUAACUUAAAAUAAGUAAAAAAAUGACUUAAAAUAAAUUAUGAAGUGUUUGUCAAUGUAAAAAUGACGUUUAAAAUAAGUCAAAAACUAAAAAUAGAUCUCCCCUACUUUUUAUUUUUGACUUAAAAAAACUACUUUUAAAGCCAAUUCAAACUCUCAGUUCAAUCAUUUUUAAAUAAAUAAAAAAUCAUUGACACUAUAAUAAAAAUUAAAUGAAACCACUAAAAUAUGUAGCACAGUGAAUGUGUCUUCUCGUUCAUUAAUCAGAAAUUUCGAUUUCAAACCAAUCAGGCAAAAUUUAAAUUGAUAUCGACCCCUAAAUAUGAAAAAAUUCUUAAUCAAAAGUAGAGCCGUCAAAACGGACUUAGCCCAUGGGGCUGACCCAAUCCAAACCGUUAUUGGGAUAGGGUUGAGAUAGGAUUUGUCAAGCCCAUUUAAAACUAGGACUUAUAAGUCCGACCCAUAUAAGCCCUUUGUCCUUGAGGCUUGAUCGGGGCCAGGUCGGGGUCGGCCCAUUGGACAAAACUUUUUAUUUAAGGGUAACUUACAAUAAUCUCACUAAUAUAUAAUCUAAUUACUUAAACGGUUGUUUGGUUAUUGGUUAGAGUUAUUAAGGUAUUAGUUAUGCAUGAUUUAGUUAUGCAAGUAUUAGUUAUGCAUGAUUUAGUUAUGCGGGUAUUAGCUAUGGAGAUAUUAGUUAUGUAGGUAUUAUUUAGUUAUUUAGAGAUUACAAUACAUGAAUUAUUAACUAUUGAAUAUUAAACUUGUUGUAAAUUAUUAAUAUAUAUUAUUUACAAAAUAAUACAUGCUAAUAGAAUGCAAAAUAUAUUGAAUAAUAUAUAAUGCUAAUAUUUGAUUAGCAUAUGUACCGUAAAAAAAUAUACAAUCAAAUUUCUAAUAUUAAAAAAAUAUUUAUAUUUGCAUAAAUAAAUAAAAACUGUAAGUAUAUAAAAGGGAAAAGGGUCUGGAAAAUACUCCAACUUUGGCCGAAAUUGUUGUUAUGAUACCAAACUUUAUGGAGGACCUUUUACCCUCUUGCACUAUUUAAUAGUGUAUUUUAAAGGUAUAUAUGUGCCCACGUGGACACAUUACUAUUUAUAAUGAUGCAAUAUUUAUGAUGUCCACAUGGACACAUAUUGUCACGACCCGAUUUCUCGAGUCAUAAUGGCACCUACUAUGCCCUACCAGUAGGUAAACCAACUCGUAACCCAGAACAUCAAGCAAUGAGUGAAAGAGCAGAAACUAGCAAAAACAAUAAUCUAAACAAGGACAACAAGGCGGAAGCAAACCAAAAUAAAUAUAUACAGAAAUCUCUCCAGAACCUAGAAGUCACUAGUACAGAGCUAUCUAAUAAAGGGUACAAGUCCCAAAAGUGGACCACAACAAAACGUGUCUCAAAGGCAACAAGACUAGCUAAAACAAAAGAAGGAGACAAGACAAACCCAAAACGCCAAGUGCUCGCCUUCGUCUUCGAAUCACAGAUGCAAAAGAAGGCUGGACCUGCAUCACGAAGUAGAUGCAGAGUGUAGCAUGAGUACCAAAACAACAUGUACUCAGUAGGCACCACAGGCCUGCUGAGCAAAAAGGGUAAAAACAAUAAGAAAUGAUAGAAUCUAGACACAGAAAGGUCAAAACGGAUAUGAAAAGAGAGCACACGAGCAUACCAGGAAUAAACUAAGUACAACUAAACUAAACCUAACUGGACCCCCCAUAAGCCCAGAAGGUACACUCGUGCGCAAUUUUAAAUAAAAACCCUGAAACGGACCCCCCAUAAGCCCGACAGGUACACAGAAUAACUAAGUCUAAUGAGAAAGAAGAAAACCAGGCUCCCAGCCCCAAGUAACCAAGAUAAUCCAUCAAAUUCCACCCAGCCAGCAGUGCACUCUUAGCCCAGCUAGAAAAAGUGACCCAAGGGGGCACCCAACCAAACAGUCCACUCCCAGCCCAGCUAGAAAGAGGGACCCGUGAGUGAGGUAGAUAUCACGAGUCGUCCUACCAUGCAGUCAGCUUCCAACUCAGCUAGAAAGAGCGACUCGGGGACACCCAGCCAGCAGCACACUCCCAACCCAGCUAGAAAGAGAGGCCAGGGGGCGAUCGCCGAUAUCACCGAGUCUACCCAGCCAGCGAUACUCUCUCAGCCCAGCUAGAAAGAACGACCCUGGGGUGAUGGUAUCUCUAAUAGGAUCCAAUCCAACAACAGCCACCAUGGAGCGCAGUCCACUCUAAGAAAUCACAAAAAAGGCUCCAAGCCUAUACUAUCUCAAUCCCACACCUUUAGUGAUGCACCAAACCUUCGAGAACGCGUCGGAACUAGAGGGAGAAGAUACAGAAGUGUAACAAGCAACGAUAACGCCUAAUCUAAGGCUCAAACUAUCAGACUCAAGUCUGCUACUCCAGUCUACAAGGAGCUAAGUCAUCCGAACGACGUCGGCAGAAAUUCAAGGCUAUCCAGCCCACACGGGUCAUAAGUCUAAGGCAAUGCUAGCCUAACCUAGACUAAGGAUAUCAUGCUUACGGUUAAGGAUAAACAAGGCAUACAACACAUAGCAUAGAAGCAUACAAUAACAUUUAGCACAUAAACAUGCAACUCUACUAAACCGGUUAACAUGAUACUACACCCGAAAUAUGACCAAUCGAUCCUAACAUAAGGUAUCUAAUUAAAGUAAAGUAGAAAAUUGGUACCCACCCCCAUUCACUCCAAUCGACAUACUUUUGCACAAUUAAGCUCAAUCUAAAAGAAAGGAAGCCGUAGCCUACCUUAAGACCGACCGCGCGCGCUCCAAAUUACUUUGCCGGAGCUUUUCCUUCCCGAACGACCCUUGAACGUUGCCACUCUAUCGAAUAUAGGAUCACAACGUUAGUACGGUCGUUUAGACACCAAAAUCACAACAAACAAAGACGAGUAAAUUUUGGAGUCACAACGAAAAUCGUGGAACCCGCACCGAACUGUUCUAAUUUGACUCCGUCAAGAGACCCAAAACAGUACCCCGAACUUGUGUUUCAAAAUGGAACACAAUUUGAGGCUCAAAACACAACAAAAAUCAACAAGCAAGAAAAUCACACUUUAAUUAACUUAAAAGAAAACAACAACAGUCUAAACUCGGAAUUAACGAGAAUCAAAAAGUGCCCAGCACUCCUUGAACACUCUACGACAACGACAAUUCCCAACAUGUGGGACUUCGAAUCAUCCAAAACCGAGCUAAAAUGACUGAGAUAUGACCAAAACAAGAAUGCCAAAAAUAAAAGCUCAAAAAAGGGUACAACAGUCAGGUUUAUCGCGAAAUUACCUCAAACUACGUGCACCCAACAACUUUCGAACACUCUACAACGAAGCCACCGAAAAUAUGAAGCUCCCGCACUUCGAAUCGCCUAAUUCGGUUGAGAGAUGAGAAUGAGGGUUUUAAGUUUGGAAAGGGUUGCUUAUAUUUUCUGCAUUUAUAGUAGACCUCCUGGUCAUUUCUCAUAUAUACCUUUAAAAUACACUAUUAAAUAGUGCAUGGGGUAAAAGGUCCUUUCCAAAGUUCGGUAUUGUUACAGCAAUUUCGAUCAAAGUUCGAAUAUAUUUUAGACCUUUUUCCCUAUAUAAAAAGAAAUGAAAAUGGUCUAUAUAUUAAAAGAAAUAAAAAUAACAAACGUAGAUAGGAAAACAAUAAAGUUUCCAAUUAAAAAAGAUUAAAAUUAAUAGGGUAAACAUGUAAUUUAUCAUUUUAAUACAUGUAUAACUAAUACCCAUCUACCCUGCAUAACUUUAUACAUAGAUUCCCUCAUAAGUUAUGUUGGUGUUAAUUAUGUAGGACUACAAAAAAUGCAACCAAACACAGUAUAAAUUAAUACAUGAAUAACUUUUAUACAACAUUUAAAUUCUUACCAACCAAACAUGGUAUACGUUAUGUUGACUUUUAUACCUAAUACAAAUUACAAAACUUCUCUCAAACAUAGUAAAGCUAAUGUAACUUUUUAUACACGAAUAAGAUGUAUCUUAUACAGUAAUCAAACGACCCCUAAGUACACACUAUGUUGUAAUAUUAUGAAUCUUACUAGAUUUUGGUAUGUCCAGAUACAUGUAUCUCGGAAUAUAUAGACUCAAAAUUAGAUUAAUUUGUUCUAGAUAACUCUAUUCAAGUAGAUUCACAUGCAUUUGAGAUACAUAAACAAAUAUCGCUCCUUCGCCUUCCUCCCAUCUUGCUUGUCAUUCUCUUAUCUCGCUCGCGUAUUUGGUGUACGAGAUACAUGUUAAUUACACUAGAUCUUUUGCUAGUGUUAUUGAAACAACACCAUUGUUUGUCAUAUUUAAUUUAAAAAUCUUCUUAUUUUACUUGAUGUUAUGGAAUUAUAAGUUUAAAAAGAAAAAUAAAAUAAAAAUGGCUAACCCGCCCCAACCCUCGGCCCUUCUAUGAUUAGAUUGAGUUGAAUAUUUCCAGGCCCUUCAAAUGAAGGACUGAUCCGCCCUAGCCCUUUAAAUUCCUUGGCCCGUGAGACUUGGACCAGCCCUUUUUGAAAGCUCUAAUCAAAGGGAUAGCCUCAAUAGGCCUGAUAUGAAUUCAAAUUAAUCCGACAACUUGUCGAAAACCAAAACAAAAUUGAAAGCAAGAAAGUUUCUAGAAGCUCCCAAGCCUUUGUAUAUAAAGCACCAUAAAGCACCAAUCUUCAAUUGUUGUUCCAACUGAUAUUAAAACACAGCCACGAACCCUAGCUUUCCGUUUACUCUCUCAGAUCUGACCAAUCCGCAAUACCCAAUCUUAGCCAUGGGUUCCAGGAAGAACGAUUUCGGCGAUGGCGCUAGUCCUGGGUUCGUUUUUUUUCUCUCUUUUUGUUGGAUAAAUAAUGAACUCUUUAGGAAAAGAUGUAGGUGAAUUACCCAAAUUAUUGUUUUACAUACGAAGUUUGAUGUGUAUUGAUUAGGGAUUUUUGUUGUUUUGUUUUUUCUUGAACAGAAAAAUCUUUAUUGGAGGUCUAGCGAAAGAGACGACGCGAGGUUAGUGUUUUUGAACACUUGUUUUGAUGUAUUAACUGUUUCUUGCUAGUGGGGUUUUGAUUUGCUGACGAGGGUGUUAAUGAAAAUUGCGUAGAACAAUUUGUGAAGUACUUUGAGAAGUAUGGGGAGAUAAUAGACUCGGUGAUUAUGAAAGAUAGGCAAACAGGUAGACCCAGAGGUUUUGGGUUCAUCACUUUUGCGGAUCCAACAGUUGUAGACACUGUUAUAGCUGAAAACCAUAUUAUCAAUGACAAACAAGUGAGUAGUUUAGCUUCAGUUUUAUAUGGCUUUAUGUAGAUCCUUGAUGUUCAAUUGUAGUCGAAUUUGAGUUGAAAUAUUAGAGAACUAUGGUGAAUUUUGUUGACUACUUCCUAUGCUUGUGAGUUGUGAGUUCGUGAGCUUGGUUGACGGGUUUCAUUUAUUUAUCAGAGUAUUUUCUAAGCUUUUAGCUAAAAAUCAUAUUUAUUAUAAGAACCUGCAAAUUGUGGUAUUGAUUUUUCCAGGUUAAUUUAUUUGAAUUGAAUUGAAACAUUAUUGAUUACUUGCAAUAUGCACAGUUAGUCAUAUACUUGUGAGACUGUGAGCUUGGUUGGUGGGUCUCAUUUAUUUAUUAGAGUUUUGAGUAUUACAUGUUUUCUUUAGCUUCAGCUGAAAAUCAUCUUAUUAUAAGUCCUUGAAAGAUUGUGGCUUGCCAAUUGUGGUGUUCUCUUUUUCCAGGUUGAGAUUAAAAGAACCAUCCCAAAAGGAUCUGCUGAUUCAAAGGAUUUUAAAACAAGGAAGAUUUUUGUUGGUGGCAUUCCAACUACCAUGACCGAAGGUAACAUUGUGCCAUUUUGUUCUAUACUAACUAGUUCUGUUGUCUGACAGUUGCAGUAGUAUUCUUUAAGCUUGAAGUAUUUAAACUGUUGUCUCUUGUACAUUAAUUGUCAGAUGAAUUCAAGAACUUUUUCUCUAAGUUUGGGAAAGUAACAGAGUAUGAGAUCAUACGAGAUCACGUGUCCAAGCGUUCUAGAGGCUUUGGAUUUAUUGUGUUUGACAAUGAAGAAGUAGUUGAUAAUUUGCUGGCUGAGGGAAAUAGGAUGGACAUGAUGGGUACUCAGGUAAGUUUUGUAGGAUAUUUCUUCAUGAUCUCAAAUGUUCUGGGACAUGACUGUCGUGCGUACAUAGUGGAUCCUCAGGAUUGUGCUUUCAUAGCAUACCCCAGCCUAAUUUUCUCCUUUUAACAUAUACCUAUAUGCCAUAAGGAGCUGCUGCAUAUGUGGUAGUUUAAUGUAAUGCAAGGAGUAUAGGUUUGUAGGUUUCUCCAUUGAGUAUGCAUCUUUUAGUGCUCAGCUGUCAGGCUAUUAUGCAGGUGGAACUUCUAGGUUAACUUGCUUCUUUGUUGUAGGUUGAGAUCAAGAAGGCAGAACCAAAGAAACCCUCAAACCCAGCUUCUGCUCCUGCAUAUGGUAGUAAUUCUAGGGGGCGUGGAUAUGGUGAUAGUUAUGGAGGAUUUGCCGAUUCAUAUAGCGGUUAUGACAGUGGAGGUUUUGGCCCUGCUUCUUAUAGGUCAUUUGGAUCUAGGUAUGGUGACUAUGGAUAUGGUGGUAGAUAUGGAGACUUUGGCAGUAGUGAAUUUGGUGGUUACCGUGGAGACCCCUCACUUGGUUAUUCCAGUCGUUUUGGCUCGUAUGCUGGUGGUUAUGGUGGGGGAUACAGUAGCAGUGGGCUAGGAGCAUAUGGCCGUGGAGGUGGUUAUGGUGGCUAUGGGGGAGCUGGCCCUGGUGCUGGUUAUGAAUCUGGCCCUGGUGCUGCUUACGAAUCUGGCACUGGUGCUGGUUAUGGUGGAUCAGGAGGUUUAUAUGGAAGUAGGGGAGGGUAUAGUGGCAGUGGCCGUUACCAUCCUUACUCCAGGUAGAUUUUCCUAAGCUUUAUAGGAGUUGCAUUCAGGUAUCUUGGUUACUGCAUCCUCAGGCAAGGGUCGAGUAGAUAUCUUGGAUCACUAGCAAGGAGACACCACCUAGAAGAUUUGGAGAGCCCUAGUUUGCUACUUCUUAUUAUGACUGUGCGACCAGAGAACCAUAUCUAGAUAGAUAUGAUAUAGCUUGUGCUUUGUCUUAGUUUAGACAUUUUCUGUUUAUGAACUAUGGAUUAGCUAGAACCUUCUUUCGGAGUAUUUUUGUGUGUUUUGUAUGUUUGGUUUCAUAGAUACAUAUGAUGCAGGCUCGUAUUGUUCUAUGCUUAGUAAGUACUCUACUUCUCAGGUAUCACUCUAUGAUAAGUUCACGAGCUUUUUACUUUUAAGA